UACGUAGGAUGCAAGCGUUGUCCGGAUUUAUUGGGUUUAAAGGGUGCGUAGGCGGCUUAUUAAGUCAGUGGUAAAAGGCAGUAGCUUAACUAUAUGUAUGCCAUUGAUACUGAUAGGCUUGAGAUUUCUUGAGGAAGGCAGAAUUCCUGAUGUAGCGGUGAAAUGCUUAGAUAUCAGGAGGAAUACCAAUUGCGAAGGCAGCUUUCUGGGGGACAUCUGACGCUGAGGCACGAAAGCAUGGGGAUCAAACAGG
rnacentral:rRNA from 1 species